UUGCAUAUUCCAUUAGCGGAGGAAAAGAAACCAACAGGGAUUGCCUCAGUAACGGCGAGUGAAGCGGCAAAAGCUCAAAUUUGAAAUCCCCCCGGGGAGUUGUAAUUUGAAGAUUGCGUCUUGGAGGCGACCGUGUCUAUGUUCCUUGGAACAGGACGUCACAGAGGGUGAGAAUCCCGUGCGGCACGGCCCCCGGCUCCUUAUAAGGCGCUCUCGACGAGUCGAGUUGUUUGGGAAUGCAGCUCAAAGUGGGUGGUAAAUUCCAUCUAAAGCUAAAUACAGGCGAGAGACCGAUAGCGAACAAGUACAGUGAUGGAAAGAUGAAAAGCACUUUGAAAAGAGAGUGAAACAGCACGUGAAAUUGUUGAAAGGGAAGGGCAUGCCGUCAGAUUGUCAGUGUGGGUAAGAAG
rnacentral:rRNA from 1 species